rnacentral:rRNA from 1 species
UGAAUAACUGAGCUGAUCGCAUAGUCUUAGUACCGGCGACGCAUUUUUCAAAUGUCUGCCUUAUCAACUUUCGAUGGUAGUUUAUGUGCCUACCAUGGUUAUUACGGGUAACGGAGAAUAAGGGUUCGACUCCGGAGAGGGAGCCUGAGAAACUGGCUACCACAUCCAAGGAAGGCAGCAGGCGCGCAAAUUACCCAGGGUCGGCACGAGGAGGUAGUGACGAAAAAUAACCCUUAAUAAUCUCUAUGAGGCCCGCUAUCGGAAUGGGUACAAUUUAACC